CAAAAUCCGAGCCAAACGGCCGAAAAAUACGGCUGAAACCCAGCGGCGCCGCCGCGCCCCUCCACGAUUUUUGCCUCCGAUGAGGCCCUUCCCGGCCUCUGUUUGAUGCAAUUUUUAUAUCACCGUGAUCACCAUUCUUUUCUCUACAGGUUGAUCGGAGCCGAAUCACCAAAACACGAACCUCGUCGGAGAGCCGCCGCACCCGAGAGCACCGCCGCC
rnacentral:lncRNA from 1 species